UAAGUAUAUAUAUUUUUCUUUCUAUUUAGAUUCGUUAGGUCUUCACCGAGUUGAGAACAGAAGUCAUUUGGAAACGGCCGUCAGUCUGCAUUUGUAUUGUCCUCCUUUUGACAGCUGCCGAAUGUUUGACGAAAGAUCAGGUCACCAGAGCAUCAGUAAAGUGACAUUUUGGAGCAAAUAUGGAGAGAGAACACCGUAUUUUCCGAACAUCAUCAUGAAAGUGGCCAAAAAGAGCGAGGAACUGUCAACUUAUGAGGAUAACUAACGAGCUGAAACACUGACCUGGUGUUGGGAUUAUAUGAGUUUCAUUCUGCUUUAGUGUCACGUGUGGAGUUGCUAUUUUACUGAAACUUCAAGAAGAUUGACGUCUUCCACCUUUCAUAACACUAACAUUACAUGUCAGACCGACUAAUGAAGACAUAGAAACCUCAAGAGGAUUGACGUCUUCCACCUUUCAUAACACUAACAUUACAUGUCAGAC